rnacentral:rRNA from 1 species
UGAGCAAUCUGCCCUUCUCAUCGGAAUAACCAUUGGAAACGAUGGCUAAUGCCGAAUACGACCUCCUUUCGCAUGAUCGGAGGUGGAAAGCUCCGGCGGAGAAGGAUGAGCUCGCGGCCUAUCAGCUAGUUGGUGUGGGUAAUGGCCCACCAAGGCGACGACGGGUAGUCGGCCUGAGAGGGUGACCGGCCACACUGGGACUGAGACACGGCCCAGACUCCUAGGGAG